CCUACGGGCGGCAGCAGUGGGGAAUAUAGCACAAUGGGCGCAAGCCUGAUGCAGCCAUGCCGCGUGUGUGAAGAAGGCCUUCGGGUUGUAAAGCACUUUCAGCGGGGAGGAAGGCGUUAAGGUUAAUAACCUUGGCGAUUGACGUUACCCGCAGAAGAAGCACCGGCUAACUCCGUGCCAGCAGCCGCGGUAAUACGGAGGGUGCAAGCGUUAAUCGGAAUUACUGGGCGUAAAGCGCACGCAGGCGGUCUGUCAAGUCGGAUGUGAAAUCCCCGGGCUCAACCUGGGAACUGCAUUCGAAACUGGCAGGCUAGAGUCUUGUAGAGGGGGGUAGAAUUCCAGGUGUAGCGGUGAAAUGCGUAGAGAUCUGGAGGAAUACCGGUGGCGAAGGCGGCCCCCUGGACAAAGACUGACGCUCAGGUGCGAAAGCGUGGGGAGCAAACAGGAUUAGAUACCCCUGUAGUC
rnacentral:rRNA from 1 species